ACAUUAAAAAACUUCCAAAGACGGCGCAAGGUCACUAUAAACACCAUGUAAAACAGCAGUUUAAAAGCCACUCGGACGAGAUUGCUGAAGACAGAAUCAAAGAGAUUAUCGAACAGUCCAUCAAAGAUUGUCAAUGGGUCAUAAACAAGUAUUCGAAGAAAUCUGGCUAGACACUUGUUCCUUGACUGUGAUGACACAGUCUGAAAAUUUCCAGUGGAUGACUUACAUAUGCUGACACUUAAUUAUAUUUUAUGUUAUAUCAUGUACAAAAUAAAACUUAGACAUGUCUCUUGA